AUUAUCAAGGAGUGUAUCCACGGCUUCUUGUACCAAUUUUUCUUGACACAUUACUAAUUCCCCUGGUGUAGAUCUACUUGUUGUUAAUAGGUCAAUAAGAGUAUUGUUCCGAUAGAUAACUCUUCUAUAGAGUUCAUUAAUAUCCGAACUCAUUAGUUUCCCUCCAUCUAUUUGAAUAAUUGGUCUCAAUUCGGGAGGAAGAACUGGUAAGAGAGAUAAAACCAUCCAUUCUGGUUCUAUAUUUGUUCGGAUAAAGUGCUUAACUAAUUCCAUGCGUCGAACCAAAAAAUUCUUUCUUCUUCCUACUUUUCGAUCUUCCCAUUCAUUUUCAUUUUCAUUGUCGGCGGAUCCCUCUUCUCCUAAUUCUUUCCAUUCUACCAACGAAGAAUCCAUAAUAAUUCUUAAAUCCAAAUCAACUAAUUGUUCUCGUAUAGCACCUGCUCCACUAGAAAUUUCUCUAUUUCGAAAUGUAUCGAAACCUUGAGUAGCAAAAAAGAGUGGGAUACUGUAUUUCCAAGAUUGGAUUUCGUAUUCGAAUGAACCUCGUAAUCGUAAGAAAGUAGGUUUUUUAACUACGGGCCUAGCAAACGAAAAAUUUGGAUAGGAUCCAAUAAGAUGGAUCUCCCCCUUUGAAAAUCGGACGUGAGGGUUUCCUCUCAUCCGGCUAAAGUAUUUACACACAAUAAAGAUAAAGAAAGUGGUUUCCGUUUUCAAAUUUUUGAAAACCUCUAAAUCUAAAAUAAAAAAGGUUUACUCUUUACUCAAGUUAUCAAUACAGACGAAGCAACAUUUCAUUGAUACAUUCUUCUUUGUUUCUGAAUUCUUUAUGCAAUUCGAAAUUACGACAGAAAUUCAAUGUAAAAUUCUUGAGUAGUCUACCUCCCUUCGAACGAAGAAUCCUUUAAAAUAUACUUUUUAAUAAAAAAAAGGAAUAUCCUCGAAUUCAUAAGAGAUUUCUUUGUCUAUGUAUCAUACCAUUUGAUCUUUUAGGUCAAGACGUCACCUCGACGGUUAUGCCACGAUGUCUUUAAGCCUAUAUGCGAUAGAUAGACUUCGGCAAUCAUGAUAUAUUAUAUUUUAUUCUUUGAACUUAAUUUAAGUUCUUAAAAAAAAAGAGAUGAAAUAAUUAAUUCCACAAAAAAAUAAUUUUUUUUUUCACAAGGUACGUACGGUUAUAAAUAAAUAUUUAUUUGUUACUGAAUUGACCAUAGACCAAUUCCCUUAUUGAUUUGGGAGUAUUCAAUACACCCAUGAAUUCUGAGCUUCAUGUUACUCAUCCCAAGAGACAUGCCAGAUAGAGGACAUUCCAAUUUAAUUGAAUGGAAUGACAGUUUCUCAUUUGAAAUCUGUACAAUAAGAAUUUUUAUCAAAUCACACAUCGCAGUAUACUAGACCUUCUAAUUCUUUAAGAGGUUUAUCUAAAAGGCUCGCAAUAUAACUAGGAAGACGUUUCAAAUACCAUACAUGGGUUACUGGACAUGCUAGUUUUAUAUACCCCAUUUGAUACCUACGUACCCGAGAAUCAACAAAUUCUACUCCGCAUUGUUCACAAAAUUUGGGUUGGUCUUUUUUAUCUCCGAUUACUCGAUAAUUUCCACAAGCACAAAUCCCACUUUUUAUAGGCCCAAAAAUUCGUUCACAAAAUAAUCCAUCUUUUUCAGGCUUAUUGGUUUUGUAAUGAAGAGUAUAGGGUUUUGUUACCUCUCCAACAAUUUCUCCAUUAGGUAGGAUUUUUUUUGCCCAAGCACUUAUUUGUUCAGGAGAAACUGAUCCAAUUCGAAGGUGUUGAUGUUUAUACUGAUCAAUCAUAGAAUAAAAUUUCUGAUUCAGUCCAAUUAAACUUCCUUCCUUUGAAUCUGGAAGUCUUUCUCAGAUACAAGGAAAUGAUUCAGUUCCAGAGCCAAAGAUCGUAGUUCUCGAACGAGCAAUCGAAAAGAUUCUGGAGCAUCCACAGGUUUAGGUAUUGUUCCUCCAAUAAUCGUAGUUCCGAGUACUUCUUGACGAGCUUUAAUAUGAUCAGAUUUAUAAGUCAGCAUCUCUUGUAAAAUAUGAGCAACACCGAACCCCUCGAGCGCCCAAACCUCCAUUUCGCCUACCCGUUGUCCUCCUUGUUUCGCCCUUCCUUUAAGGGGUUGUUGUGUAACAAGUGCAUAAUGUCCACUGGAACGUCCAUGUAUUUUAUCAUCAACUUGAUGAAUUAAUUUCAAAAUAUAAGGCUUUCCUAUUAUAACAGGCUGUUCAAAAAGAUUCCCUGUUCUUCCAUCAAAUAUUCCGCUCUUUCCCGGAUACUCGGGUUCAAAUAUCCAUGGAUUCGAUGUUUGUUUACUGGCUUCAUAUAAUUCAGAAAACACAAGUUUUCUGGAAGCCUCCUGUUCAUAUCUCUCAUCAAAAGGUGCUAUUCGAUAAUGUCUAUUUAGCAUACUCCCAGCUAAUCCGAGUGAACAUUCCAAUAUCUGUCCUACAUUCAUUCGUGAGGGUACCCCUAAUGGGUUGAAGACCAUAUCAACGGGUCUUCCAUCUUGCAAAUAAGGCAUAUCCUGUCUAGACAAAAUCUUUGAAACGAUACCUUUAUUUCCAUGUCUCCCGGCCACUUUAUCACCUACUUUAAUUUCACGUUUCUGUGAAAUAUAUAUAUGAAUCGUUUCUGGAUUAUAGCUAGAACCUGCUUUUUUUUGGAUCCAUCUCACAUCAAUAACUCGGCCCCUACCACCUAUAGGUAGUUUUAGACAAGUUUCCUUUGAGGUCGAUACCUGAAUCCCAAGUAUAGCUCGUAAUAAUCUAUCUUCCGGAGCAUAUGAGGAUUCUUUCGCCAUUUGAGGCGUUAAUUUACCCACUAAAAUAUCCCCUGUUUCUACCCAAGAUCCCAGAAUCACAAUUCCAUUUUUGUCUAAAUUUCGGAGUAAAUGGGCUUCUAGAUGUGGAAUUUUAUUAGUGAUUCUUUCAGGACCAUGGCUUGUCACAUGAGUCUGAAUUUCAUAUUUACGUAUGUGAAAAGAAGUAUAAAUAUCUUCAUAGACCAGACGUUCACUAAUGAGUACAGCAUCUUCAGAAUUGUAACCUUCCCAUGGCAUAUAAGCUACUAAUACGUUUUUUCCCAAAGCGAGUUCACCGCCAACAGUAGCAGCACCAUCUGCUAAAAUUUGCCCCUUUUUUACGCAUUUACCUUUAUGAACCCGGGAUUUUUGAUGCAUGCAAGUAUUUUUGUUGGAACGUUGAUAUAUAAUUAAUGGAAUACUUAGAGAAUUCCCAUUUCCAAAUAAAAUGAUCUUGUCAGUAUCGUUAUAAACGAUUUUUCCGGCGUGUUCGGCUAUAGCGGGAACUCCUGAAUCUAAGGCCACUUGGCGUUCCAAUCCAGUUCCAACAAUGCACUUUUCGGACCGAGAAAGAGGAACUGCUUGACGUUGCAUAUUAGAACUCAUUAAAGCUCGAUUCGCAUCAUUAUGCUCGAUAAAAGGAAUCAGGGAAGCUCCAAUAGAAAAAUAUUGGAAGGGAAAAAUACUUCGAAGAUGAACCUGUUCCCAUGCAAUAGUUAGAAAUUCUUGACGGUAUCGAGCUGGAACAAUCUGCUCCUCCUGAAUACCUCGAUUCAGUGCUAAAAAAUUUCCCGUCGCUACCAUAUAGUAUUCAUCUCUACUUGGUGAUAAAUAAAGCAUUCGUAUUCGUUUUGAUCUCUCAGAAAUUUCAAAAAAUGGACUUUCUAUAGACCCCCAACGACCAAUCCUUGCGUGAAUUGCCAAGGAUCCAAUAAGUCCUACAUUGAUUCCUUCCGAGGUGUCAAUUGGACAAAUGCGUCCAUAGUGACUAGGAUGGAUAUCCCGUAUCCGAAAACUAGCAGUUCGCCCCGUCAAUCCUCCAGGACCCAAAUAACUCAAUUUUCUCCCAUGAACUAUUUGGGUCAAUGGAUUGGUUCGAUCUAAAACUUGAGAUAAUGGGUGUAAUCCAAAAAACGAUUCAUAAGUGGUUGUUAAUGGAGUUGAAGUCACUAAAUUCUGAGGAGUCGGUAUCAAUUUAUAUCUAAUUGCUCCAGAUAUAGUUCCUCGAAUUAUAUUUUCUAAACGAACGAGAGCCAAUCCAAAUUGAUCUUGUAAUAGAUCUGCUACGGAACGAAUACGUUUAUUUUUCAAAUGAUUCAUAUCGUCAAGUGUACCCAUUCCAAAUUUCAUUCCAAUCAAAUGAUCCGCAGCUGUCAAUAUAUCUCGCGGUAACAAAAAUGUAUUGUUCUCGGGUAUAUCAAUAUUCAGUCUUCGGUUCAUAUUUCGGCGACCAAUCCCCCCUAAUUCACAUCUUUGUUGAAAAAAUUUUUUUUGUAAUUCCGUACAUAAAGAUUCCGGAAAUAUGGGAUCUCCGCCUACACAAGCAAAUUGUCGAUAAAACUCCAAAAUGGCAUUUUCUUUUGACCCUUAUUUUUUUUCCUCCUUUUCAUUGAGGAAAGAUAUAAAAAUUUCGGGGUAGCAAACGUUCUCAAGAAUUUCGCUUAAAUUCGAACCCAUAGCUGAUGAUAGAACUAGAAUAGAUAUUUUCUGUUUCCUACUUACACGAGCCCAUAUCCUUGCUUUUCUAUCAAUUUCUAACUCUAAUCUUCCCCCCCAAUCUGAUAUUAUUGUGCCGGUAUAGACUGAAAUUCCCUUAUGGUCCAACUCUGAACGAUAAUAGAUACCAGGGCUUUGCAAUAUUUGAUUGAUUACAAUUCUGUAUAUUCCAUUUACUAUAGAAGUUCCCAGGGAAUUCAUUAGAGGAAUGUUUCCAAUAAAAAUAAUUUGUUCUUGGAUAUCCCUACUGUUUUUCCAAAUUAAUCCCGCGGAUAUAUAUAAUUCAGAGGAAUAUGUAAGUGAUUCAUAUACAGCAUCUUUUUCUUUUAUCGAGGGUUCUACCAAUUGAUAUGUUUCCACAAACAACUGAAAUUCAAUUUCUUGAUCCGUAUCUUCAAUUUUUGGAAACUUAAAAAGUUCUUCUGUUAAGCCCCGAUCAAUGAAUCUACAAAACCCUUCAAAUUGUAUUUGAUUCAAUCCGGGUAGUGUAGACAUUCCUUCAUUCCCAACCCCAAGCAUUUUCAAUUUCCCCAUUUAUUUUAUAGAAAAUAUCCCGUGAUUUGCUGUCAUUCUUCAUUGAAUCACAUGAAUCGAUUUAGCAAUAAUGGAAUUUCUGGUCUUUUUACUUUACUGAAUCACAUGAAAUUUUACCUAACGACGUCUAUGAAAUACCUAUUAUGAAAACAGUAGAUUUUAUACUCAAAUUGGAAUUUGCAACAAAACAAACAAAUAGAAUAUAACUUGUAAUAUAAAUCGAAACAAAUUGAUAAAUUUCACCUAGACUUGGGAUAUUUUAUAGUAGUAGUAUAGUAUCUUAUUACAUAAUUCUAAUUCGAUUGAUACCCCAAAAAAUGAAUUCAGGAUUUGUUUGGCUCCAUGAGAUAAAGAUAUCCAAAAAAAAAUAAUCAGAAAAAAUAUACAAUUUAUUUAUUUUUUUCGAAUUUGAGAAUAUGAUUGCAGUGCAUAAAAAGACUUGGAUUUAUUAAACAUGCAUAGAUCUAACUUCAGCUAUAACUAUCUCUAUAUGUCUCUUACUUUAUUGCAGUCCUAUUUGUUCGGGACAGCACAUGUUAUGUUGUGUUCAUUUAUUUUUUCUAUUCAUUCAUUAAUCUAUUUAAUGAAAAAUUGGCAAAAAAAUGAAAGCACGAGAAUUUAUCGAAAAUUCCCUAUAAUAUAGGUAUAUGUAACAACGAAAAUGCAUGUUCUGGGGUUGACAUAUAUUAACAGUUGCUGUUAUAAUUGAAAUAGAGAGGGAUUAAAAAAAAAUAAUAAUAAUAUUGAUUGGUAAUAAUAUUGAUUGGUUAUGUAUCAAUUUCUAUUUUUUUCUCAUUAAUAAAGAAUAGAUUAAGAUUCAAGAAUUAAGAAUUAUUCAGGAAUUUGUAGUUAACGGUUGCUAUUUGUGCUGAAAUUUUGACUUUUCUUUUGUGACUGAAAGGUAUAGGUAUACGUUUGUUUUCAAUAGAAAAGGGGAGGGGAUUAAAGAAAACGGAAUUUAAGAUACAAACACAUCAAAAAAAAGAAUUUUAGAAACCCUUUUUUGUUUUUUUGAGAGGAGGAGGGGUAUUCGGAUCUAUUUUUUUGUUAUUAUUUUGGCGAUAUGGCCGAGUGGUAAGGCGGGGGACUGCAAAUCCUUUUUCCCCAGUUCAAAUCCGGGUGUCGCCUAAUCGAUAAGAGAAUUCAAAUAGUUUAUUUCGUUUUGUUGAUAUAGAAAACUUUUUCUUUUUUUUCCAGCACAAGCUAGUGUAGGAAUAAGGGACUAGUUUGAUGCUAAAUUCUAAGCAUCGGGAAGUUUGUUCUCUAAAAUGUUGUAAAUAUUUUCGUCUCAGAUUCAACGAAAAAUUCAUUAGAGGGAUGAAAAGGAAUAGAUCAAUCUUGAAAUGAUAGUCCUUUUAUUUCACUACUAUUGUAGUGUCCAUCUACUUUAUUGGGUCUUUAAUUAGAUUGGAUAGGGAUAGCUCGGAUGGGGAAUAUAAGUCCAUUUUAAGUUAGGGAAGGUGUUGAAGAAAAACCUUGUAUACAAACUUAUGGUAAAGUAUAUGAACGCUUCUUCAUUUAUUCCAUAUUAGUUAGAUUAAUGAAAUUGAAUAUCUAAUUCGAUUUUUUUUAUUAUUAUAAUAUUGAAUUUCUUUAUUUAUUAUUAUAUAUAUUAAUAUUAUUAUAUAUUAAUAUUAUUAUAUUAAUAAUAAAAUCCAAUUCAAAAAGAAUCCAUUUUUUUUUUCUAAUCUCUAGUAAAAGAAUUUUAGAGGAUGUUUUCCAAUUGUUUUAGAGAACGAAUCGGGAGACAAUCAAAUGGAAAUAAGAGAUGCAAAUAAGAGUCUGAGUAUGCAAAGAAAUCUAUGCUUAAUUUAAUAUUCUUUCAAUUCUACUAGAAAUCAGGUAAGAACUUGUUAGAUGUUCUAAUUGGAUGUUUCGUCAAUGGUGUUAUGACGGAAUCUUUUUUUGACUCUGUACCAGCGAUUCCACUAUUAUUAUAAGAUAUUAUAAAAUUUUUAGUGAAAAAUAAAAACGAAAAUAAUACAAGAAAAAUUAGUAAACAAUAAUAAAAAUAUUUCUUCAUAUUGAUAGAGAUAGGAGACAAAAUUUACAUGGAUAUAGUAAGUCUUGCUUGGGCUGGUUUAAUGGUAGUUUUUACAUUUUCCCUUUCCCUUGUAGUAUGGGGAAGAAGUGGACUCUAAGAGGACUACUAAUUGAGUUAAGGGAUCAAAAUGUCUCAAUUAUUUUAUAGCUAAGUUCUUCCAUUUUUUAACUAUUGCAUUUUGUUAUUUUAUUAAUACUAAUUAAUGAAAUGCAAUUCGAUACUUCAUUUCGAAACUCCAUUGUAUUCCAGUGGUGGAAUAUAAUAUUGAAAAAAAAAAUACUCUUUAAAUCAAACAAAUAUUUGAAUUGUUCCCAUCUUAUUGUCCCGGGAAUACAGAUAAUUGGAAACGGAUUACUACUCCAAACUUAAUUCUUUUUAAGAUUUAUAUUUCGAUGAACUGGUUACCACCAAUCUUUUCUAAAUAUGAAAAACUUUUUCAUCGAAUCCCCCGAUCAGUUGUCAAUUAUUUAAUCAAUUUAAUCAAUUCAUUUUUUUGGAAUACUAAAAAUAAAAAGAUUAUUUUUUUUUUUUUAUCGGGAUUAUGAAAAGAAUGUGAAAUCUAAAAAUUCAAAUAAAAAGAAUAAAAAUGUAUUUUUGAUUAUUUCAGAUUGAUUGGAACCAAUACAAAUAUAAUAGAUUAGAUCAAACAAAGAAAAAAUGUGGACACUAUGGAAUUGAGAUUCCAUAGAUAUCUAUAGAUAUACCCAUAUGAAAAGAAAUAUUUAAAUUGGUCCAUCCAUAUUAUAUUAAACUUCUUUUUUUUUAAGUAAAACAUUCCAUUUUUACCAUACCAUAAUAAAUAGUAUAGUAGAAAGAAAUAGAUUUGAUUUCUUUCUACUAUAUACUAUAGUAUAUGGAUUUCAUAGAAUUCUGCUGAUUGUAGUCUGAUCAUUUUAUUUAAAAGAAAGACCCGAAAUGGAAACCCUUUUUUCUUUAUUCAAUCAUUGUUAUCGCAUUGAUAAGAAAUCAGAAGUCAUGUUUAAUUAAAAUUAGUUACUUUGACUUACCGUUUUUACGUAAAUUAUAAGUAAAAAGGCAGUAGGAACUAGAAUGAAGAGUGCAGUAGCUAUAAAUGCGAGAAUAUUGACUUCCAUAAUCUCUAUGUUUUCUUUCUCUUUUAUUUCGAAUAAAUACUUCGGGAUUUAAUCCCAUAGAAAUGAAAAAUCUUUCGUCAGUAAAUUCAGUGGUAUAAAUUUUAUCUCGAUGAUAUAAAAUCGGAUCAAUAUCACGAAUAACAAUAUCUGAGCUAUCAAAUCAAUUCAUCGUCGAGAAUUAAAUAGUAUAACAUAGGAAGAUCUUUUAUCCAUAACCAAAAAAAAAAAAAAAUUCUUUCUGAUGCAAUGAAAAAUUCCUUUUUCUUUCUUCGUCCGAACCUUUACCUUAAACUAAAAAAGAAAAAAGGAAUCCCUGUUAGAAAAGAAAUGAGAUUUUUUUUUCUUUUUAUCCCUUUCACAUACGAAAUCAAUUGAUAUUUUUUGGAUUUGUAUCCAUCGGGACUGACGGGACUCGAACCCGCAGCUUCCGCCUUGACAGGGCGGUGCUCUGACCAAUUGAACUACAAUCCCAGGGAAAAAGUUGUAUAGCNNNNNNNNNNNNNNNNNNNNNNNNNNNNNNNNNNNNNNNNNNNNNNNNNNNNNNNNNNNNNNNNNNNNNNNNNNNNNNNNNNNNNNNNNNNNNNNNNNNNAAGCUUUGAAGCCUACUAGAGGCGUGGCUAAGGAUGGUAAGUGCUUCUAUUGCAACAACACAGGGCAUUGGAAGCGAAACUGUCCAAAGUAUCUGGAAGAUAAGAAGAAUGGAAAUAUUCCUACUACUUCUGCAGGUAUUUUUGUUAUAGAAAUUAAUAUGUCUACUUCUACAUCAUGGGUAUUAGAUACUGGAUGUGGUUCUCAUAUUUGUACUGAUGUGCAGGGUCUGAGAAAGAGUAGAGCAUUGGCAAAAGGCGAGGUCGAUCUUAGAGUUGGCAAUGGAGCAAAGGUUGCUGCUUUAGCUGUUGGAACUUAUGUAUUGACCUUACCUAGUGGUCUUUUACUUAAUUUAGAAAACUGCUAUUAUGUACCUUCCAUUAGCAGGAAUAUUAUUUCAAUUUCUUGUUUGGACAAGGCUGGUUUUUAUUUUACAAUAAAGAACAAAUGUUGUUCCGUUUAUUUGGAUAAUAUUCUUUAUGCUAACGCAAAUUUGAGUAAUGGACUUUACGUCCUAGAUCUCGAUAUGCCUAUCUAUAACAUUAAUGCUAAAAGGUUGAAACCUAAUGAGUUGAAUCCAACUUACCUUUGGCAUUGUCGUUUAGGACAUAUAAAUGAGAAUCGCAUUUCCAAACUCCAUAAAGAUGGAUUUUUGGAUUCUUUUGAUUUUGAAUCAUAUGAAACAUGUCGAUCUUGUUUAUUGGGAAAAAUGACAAAAGCUCCAUUUACCGGUCAAGGUGAAAGGGCUAGUGAUCUUUUAGGUCUCAUACAUACUGAUGUGUGUGGACCCCUAAACAUAACUGCUAGAGGAGGCUUUCACUACUUCAUUACAUUCACUGAUGACUUUAGUAGAUUUGGAUAUGUGUAUCUAAUGAAACAUAAAUCUGAAUCAUUUACUUUCUUCAAAGAAUUUCAAAAUGAAGUAGAAAACCAACUAGGCAAGAAAAUCAAAAUGCUUCGAUCUGAUCGAGGUGGAGAAUAUUUGAGCUUAGAGUUUGACAAUCAUCUUAAAGAAUGUGGGAUACUGUCCCAACUCACACCUCCUGGAACACCGCAAUGGAACGGUGUGUCUGAAAGGAGAAAUCGAACCUUGUUAGACAUGGUCCGAUCUAUGAUGAGUCAUGCUGAACUUCCAAACUUCUUAUGGGGGUACGCCUUAUUAACUGCAGCUUACACACUUAACCGAGUUCAAUCUAAAGCGGUAGAAAAGACACCAUAUGAGAUAUGGAAUGGUCGAAAACCCAAUGUGGGACAUUUUAAGAUUUGGGGUUGUGAAGCUUAUAUAAAACGACUUAUGUCUACUAAGCUUGAACAAAAAUCUGAAAAAUGUUUCUUUGUGGGAUAUCCUAAAGAAACUAGGGGAUACUACUUUUACAAACCACCUGAAGGCACAAUUGUUGUUGCCAGAACUGGAGUCUUCCUUGAGAAGGAUUUUGUCUCCAGGAGAAUCAGUGGGAGCAAAGUAGAUCUUGAAGAAAUUCAAGACCCACAGAGUAAUGAAAUACCACAAGAGGAACAAGGACAGGAUACACAAACUGUUAUGACAGAAAAUCCUAUCCCAGUAACACAAGAACCACGUAGGUCUAGCAGGAUACGUCAAGAACCCGAAAGAUAUGGGUAUCUCAUAUCACAAGAGGGUGAUGUAUUGCUCAUGGACCAAGAUGAGCCUGUGACUUACACGGAGGCCAUUACUGGCCCCGAAUCUGAGAAGUGGCUUGAAGCCAUGAAAUCUGAAAUGGAUUCCAUGUACACAAAUCAAGUUUGGACCUUGAUUGAUGCACCUGAAGGAAUUAAUCCUAUAGGAUGCAAGUGGGUUUUCAAAAAGAAAAUUGACAUGGAUGGAAAGGUUAGUACCUACAAAGCGCGAUUGGUUGCUAAAGGCUUCAAACAAAUUCAUGGUGUAGACUAUGAUGAAACCUUUUCACCAGUUGCAAUGAUUAAAUCCAUUCGGAUCUUACUUGCUAUCGCAGCACACCAUGAUUAUGAAAUCUGGCAAAUGGAUGUCAAAACUGCUUUCCUUAAUGGAAAUCUUCUUGAGGAUGUGUACAUGACACAACCUGAAGCUUUUGGCGAUCCUAAAGCAACCAAAAAGGUAUGCAAGUUGCAGCGAUCAGUCUAUGGAUUGAAGCAAGCUUCUAGAAGUUGGAAUCUUCGCUUUGAUGAAACUGUGCAACAGUAUGGAUUCAUUAAAAAUGAAGAUGAGCCUUGUGUUUACAAGAAGGUUAGUGGGAGCAUAGUUUCAUUUCUGAUUUUAUAUGUGGAUGACAUAUUAUUAAUCGGAAAUGACAUCCCUACAUUACAAGCAAUCAAAACUUGGUUAGGGAAAUGCUUUUCUACGAAAGACUUAGGUGAAGCCGCCUAUAUAUUAGGAAUCAGGAUCUAUAGAGAUAGAUCACAAAGAUUGCUUGGCUUAAGUCAGGGUACAUAUAUAGACAAAGUCCUGAGACGUUUCAAUAUGCAUGAUUCCAAGAACGGAUUCAUUCCUAUGUCGUCAGGAAUAAAUCUAUCAAAGACUCAAUUCCCUUCGACUAAUGACGAAAGGGAUCGAAUGCGUGAUAUUCCAUAUGCUUCGGCAAUUGGUUCUAUCAUGUAUGCUAUGAUAUGUACUCGACCAGAUGUCUCGUAUGCUUUAAGUGCUACGAGCAGAUACCAGUCUAAUCCUGGCAACGAUCAUUGGAUUGCUGUCAAGAAUAUCCUUAAGUACUUGAGAAGAACUAAGGAUACCUUCUUGAUCUAUGGAGGUCAAGAAGAGCUCUCUGUAAUUGGUUACACUAAUGCUAGUUUUCAGACCGAUCAUGAUGACUUUAGAUCGCAAUCUGGAUAUGUGUUUUGCUUAAAUGGCGGUGCUGUGAGCUGGAAAAGUUCAAAGCAAGAAACAGUCGCUGAUUCUACAACUGAAGCCGAGUAUAUUGCUGCAUCCAAUGCCGCAAAAGAAGCUGUUUGGAUUAAGAAAUUCAUUUCUGAUCUUGGAAUAGUUCCAAGUAUUGUGGAUCCCAUUGCAUUACUAUGUGAUAACAAUGGUGCAAUCGCACAAGCCAAAGAACCUAGAUCUCACCAGAAAUCCAAACACAUACAAAGGCGUUAUCAUCUUAUUCGAGAGAUUAUCGAAAGAGGAGAUGUUAAAAUAUGCAAAGUACCAACAUUUGACAAUGUCGCUGAUCCACUUACUAAAGCUCUUGCCCAGCAGAAGCAUGAUGGUCAAACUAGAUCUAUGGGUAUUAGGUUUAUGCCUAAUUGGCUCUAGUGCUAGUGGGAGAUUGUUGGUGUAAGCCCUAGAGGCCAAUAGUUUAUGUUAAAUCUAUCUUAUGUAUCAUGACUUUUAUUAUUGAAUAAUAUAUGGCACUCUUUAUUACAUUUAGAUAAUGUUAAUAAAGUCCUUAGAAUAGAUAGUUCGUGUAAUAAUAUAUUAAGUGUGACUUAAUCAUGAGAUUACAUUAUCUUAUAGAACGCUAUUCUUAAAUGUAUCCGUAGUCAAAGCUUUAAUAUGAAUAAAGGAUAAUAAUAAAGCGUCGAGACUAUUAUGUAUGUAGACUGAUGAUCGCAUCUCAUGGGUCAUAGAUAUGAGAUAUUAAGUCUAUACAUAGAUAUAAAUAUUAGAAGUAAUAUUUAUAUUGGAUUCACCCACUGUGAGAAUACUACAUAGUAAGUUAUGAAAUUGUCAUAAGAUAUUCUCACAAUGAUAAUAAUGUAUAUUGCUCUUAGACCUGAAACCACUAUGAUCUCUAGAUGUGGACUCAAGUGCUUUGUUGCCAUUCUAACGUUGUCUGUAAAAGGAUAACAAUAACGUUGGUUGAUGGGUACUUGAUGAAUCAUGCUGAGGGGCAUGAGUGUUCUAGAUGGGAUUUGUCCCUCCUCAUAAACAGGAGAUAUAUCUUUAGGCCUCUUGAUGAAAUAUGACUAUAAAUAUGCAUGGCCAUGCCGAACUAAGUCAAUAUAAGAUAUUGGACUUAUUCGUUAAAUAGUAUAUUUCGGAAUCAAGAUAAAUAAACAUUGAUCUAUACAAGGGUGACACUAACUAUGCCUUGAGAUCAAUGAAGAUAUUGAGACAAAGGAGUAAUUAUACACAUAUGUGUUAUCAUGAAAGGUUUCGUCAGAUCACUUGACAUUCUUGUCACUUGGGUAGCAAUGAUGUGUUGCUAGAUACCGCUCAUUGUUUAUGGUAUUAGAUAUUAGAUUUAAUAUCAUUGCCAACGUGACUAGAACCUAAAGGGUCACACACAAAGAACAGUCAAAAGAGAUAUAUAUAAGUACGACUUAUAUAAAGGGUGCGCUUAGUAAAUAAUGCUAAUGAUUUAGCAAAAUUUGCUAAACUCGUAUUGGGCUUAGUGAAGUCAAAAACGAGUUUGACUUGCAAAGCACAUAGGGAGUUCUAUAAAUAGAAACCUAGUGCAAUAGUUUGCGGUUACGUUUUUCCUUGCAGAAACCCUAGUUCUCUGACUUCCGUCUUCUUGGCUAGCACCGAGGUUUUGGAGGAGCACUGUUCGUGUGGACUCAAUAGAGGCUCUGCUGUUUGCUUGGCUGUGAUCGAGAUUCCAGUUCGCAGAUUCCACCGAUCGUUUUCAGACUUUCAUUCUAAGGUAACAAUCGAAUCACUGGUUCAAGUUUCAAUUCGUAAUGAUCCAAGGAAAGUAAAUCGAAAUUUUAUUCCGCUGCUUAUUCUGUUAAUGUCGAUUUACCUUCAUGGUGUAGGAUGUGCAUUGAAGUCUAAGAAGCUGACUCCAAAGUUCAUUGGUCCGUAUCAGAUAUCAGAGAGGGUUGGAACAGUGGCAUACAGAGUGGGUUUGCCACCACAUCUUUCGAAUUUGCAUGAUGUGUUUCAUGUGUUCCAAGAGAUGAUGUGCAAGUUAGAGACAACCUUACAGUUGAGAAUUGAAGACCGUGAGGUGAAGAAGUUGAGAGGCAAGGAUAUACCUCUCGUGAAGGUUGUUUGGGGUGGAGUAACCGGUGAAAGUUUGACUUGGGAGCUGGAGAGUAAGAUGCGGGAGUCGUAUCCAAAGUUGUUUUCUUGAGGUAAUAUUUCGAGGAGGAAAUUCUCUAAGUUGGAGAGAGUUGUAACGCCCUAGUCGUUGUUUUAUUUAUUUUUGAUUUAUUUAGAGUCUUUUAUAUGAUUUUUAAUAAUAUUAGUGGUUUAUGUGGUGUGUUAUAUUUUAUUAUAUAGUUUAUUUUAAUAUUAAUUAGAAUAAUUUAAGAAUUAUUAUUAUUUUGGAGGUUGGGGAGUUAAUUAGGAAUUAAUAGAAGGGUUAAUAGUGUUUUACCCCCCUGUAAUAUAUGUCAUUUCCGGUUUUCCCCCCUGUAAAAUUUUUUGUUUAGUUUUCGUCCUUAUAAUUUAAAGAUUUUUUGGUUUUGGACCUUCGUGACAAAUUUCGCUCCCCGUAAAAUUUUCAAAUUUCGAUUUACCCCCCUGUAAUUUGAGAAAGUUUCGAUUUACCCCCUUGCUAAUUUGAGCAAAUUUCGGUUUACUCCCCUGCCAUAUCAUCUAUUUUGUACAGUCAAAAUUCAUGAAGGUCCAAAACCAGAAAUCUUCAAAUUACAAGGAUGAAAACUAAACAAAAAAUUUUACAGGGGGAAUACCGGAAAUGACCAAUAUUACAGGGGGGUAAAGCACUAUUAACCCUUAAUAGAAUUAAGGGGAGUUUAAUGAAAUAAAGGAAAGUUAUAUUUUGGGGAGUUAGGAAAAGAGAAGUCAGAAACGUUUUCACGUGAAAGCAGAACUUUUGGGAGAAAAGGGAGAAGAGUAAGUAGAGCCAAGCGAAUCCGAUCGUUGUGCAUUUUUCUUCUGGAUUAAGGUAAGGGUGAGGUUUGCUUCAAUAGUGUAGUUAUUGAAUUCUGAUUUUGGGUUUAACAAGUUUUGGUAGGAAUUGGGAAUUUUAGGUUUAUGAUGAAUUAUUGAGGUUUGGGUGUAGAGAUUGUUGUUUUGAUGUUAGAAUUAGGUUCUGGUUGCAUACAGCACUUAGUUUUGCAUCUGUAAACUAAUUUGGGGAGUGAAUUGGAGGAAAUGCGAUUUUUGGGGAAAAACCUGCAUUCUGCCCGUGCUGACAUUCAUCGCUCGCCCUGGCGAGUAGCUCGUCUCGCCUCGCGAGUGAGCAAUCUUCAUAGCCCGCCUCGCGAGCAGAACCCCUCACCAUGGCGAGCAAGUGCCUGAGAGAUCAUGAUUUUUGAAUUGUUGUUAUAAGCCGUAUUUUGGUUAGUUUUGAGUGCCUAAAUGAUUUUAGAGAGGACUGGGUCAAUUUUCAGAUUAAAAAGAUGAAUAGGGAGCUUAAAAAUGAAGAUUUAGUGAGAAAAAUGUCAAAACUCCCGAGAGCACCCUUUUUCUCAUUCGCCUUGAGUUCGCCACGGCGAGCAACCCAAUCCUUGAGUUCGCCAUAGCGAGUGGAUGUACUCGCGAGGCGAUUUGCCCAGAUUUUAAGUUGUUUAUUCUAUUGUGAAUGUUGUUGAAUGAUCUUGAUGUUUAAGCAUGAUUAUGAUUAAUUGUGCAUUUUUCUGGAAUUGUUGGAUUGAAUUAUACUGAUCUGUUGUUGACUGUGAUGUAUGCUUUUAUUUAAUUAAAUCAUACAUGUUGUUGAAUUGUGGGUUGUGAGUCAUAUACGUAUAUAUGCAUUUGUCAAGUUGUAUGUAGAUAUACACAAGUGGAGUCAAUUGCAUAAGCAUAUAAAGCGGGAGGGCUCUUUCCCUGGAACGCCUUUUCGUUCAAAGUGGGAGGACUCAUGUCCUGGAACACUUAUUGUUCAAAACGGUGAGGGCUUAUGCCCUGAUGAAUGCUUUAACCAUUCAAUAUUCGGUGAGAGCUACUGUAACGCCCUACUUCUAUUAAAGCAAUUAAACAUGCGAAUAAUACAUUUAUUCAAGAAAUAGAGGCUACGCCACAUUCAAAAUUCAAAAACCGAUAGACAUAUAUAUAAACCUCAACAGUCGCAGCGGAAUAUAAACCAGAAUAAAUUUAAAUAUACAUAUUAUGAAUCAAUAAAUUACAUCGACAUAGAUGCAUCAAAAAUCCCAACAAACGGGUCAUCUCCAAACAUAACAAAAACCAAAGUAAAAGAUAAUAUAGACCAACACAACUAAGCCUAGAUCAGAGCCGACUAAACAUCUAAACACCGAUAUCGGAGAAAGCUCCAGAUAUCCACCAAGCACAAGAACUCACCAAGCAACUAAACCUGCACAACGUCUACCCAUCCAUACAGAUAGGCAGGCGGUCCAUAACAAAUCCACUGGGGGUAAGUAUUACAUUAUCAUAAUCCAAAUAACAAUUAACAUGAAUAUUUCAAUUUAAACAUCAUGCACUUGAUCAAUAAUAAUAUUCUCAUAUCAAUACUUACAUCAAACCCCAAUAUCUCACAUCAAUAAUCACCAAUCACAUGUGUCAUGAACAAAUAUCAAUUCACAAUUAUUCAUACACAAUCACCAAUCAUAUACAUCAUGAACAAUCACCAAUCAUAUUUCAUGAACAAUCACCAAUCACAUGUAUCAUGAACAAAUAUCAAUUCACAAAUAUUCAUUCACAAUCACCAAUCACAAACAUCAUCAAUAAUCAUUCAUCUCAUUUCAUCACCAAUCACAUAUGUCACAUAAGACUCAUGUUAUGAUUUGCACUUAUUGACGCAUAAAUGCAUGUGGUACCAAAUCUCCAAAAAGGUCGUCACCCAUAUCCAGAUCUCAAAAGAUCCCUUCCAGGCCGAAGCCCUAUAACGAAUAAAACAUCGUAUCCAGAUCUCAAAAGAUCUCUGCUAGACCGAAGUCCAAAACUAGAUCUCAAAAGAUCUCUGCCAGGCCGAAGCCCUAUAACGAAUAAAAUAUCGUAUCUCAACACGACUAUGAUGCAUGGACAUGUAUAAGGACUCGAUAAUGCGACAACAAUUCACAAUCUCAACUCAAUAUAUAGGACAACACCCAAUUAUAUUGAUUAUCUCCACAACAUUGCAUUAUCAAGAAAACAUGCCCACACAAAUAAAUCAUAGUAUUCAUCAUCACACAUCAACAUGAUUAUCAAUAAUCAACAAUGUCAUUCAACAUCAACUAUCACAUAUAGUUUCACCAUUUCAACCAUUCUCAUAUUCCAAGUAAUAGGGAAAACAACAUAUCAUGAUAAAUAUCAUAUCCAACAUAUAACCAUUCAUAAUCAACUAUCACAUAUAGUUUCACCAUUCAAGCAUUCCUUACAUUCUAAGUAAGAUAACAUACAACAUCUCUUGAUAAACAUCAUAUCCAAUACAAUCACUCAUUCAUACAACUUCACUUAGCCAUACAAGAAUAAUCUCAAUAACUCACAAGACAAUUUGCUAAAGAAACAUUUCCGACAAAAAUCCAAAUCAUAUGGCAAACGGCCAACAUUGAUAAUUUUUAAAGCUAGGCAACUUAUUUAAGUUUGAAAUCCUACAAUUCAAUCUUAAUCAAUCAUGUAGUCAAGGACUUAAGCCACUUGCAAACUAUUAGAAAUUAGUUCAAAGGAUAGCUUAAGUUCGUAUGAGAAAUUCCAAGACAAAACAACAUUUAGCUGAAAACCCGUUUUCACCGAUUCAACUUUGCCCAAAAUAUUUCUUAAACCAUCAACACAUUCACAUUCCCAAUAUCAAGUUUGGAAAAGUUCCACGGCUCAUAGAAAAAGUUAUGAUAAGUUUUCACAAAACUCCACAUGACCCAUGUGUAGUAAUUUAAUCAUAACUCAAGUUCUAAAAAUCAUUUGGACCUCAAAUCAACGCCAUUAGAAAGCUAACAAAAUUAUCUAAAACUUUCAUGUUUACAUCAAAAUCCAAUUCAAAGCGGAAAGGGGUGAAAAAUAGCAAAAUAUGCAGGAUCUGGUUCGCAGAAAUCGUGUCACGAUUUUACGUCCAGAAACACUGAAUUUUCGGCCAACAAAAUCGUGACACGCUUGCCAAAUUGUGACACGUUUUGCCAGCAUCAGGUCCAGAAAUCAGUUCUUCAAAAAGUGCGUUUUUCACCAUUUCGCGCGUAAAAUCCAAACCGUUAAUCAAAUUUUGAUACCGUUUUCGCCUACACGCUCUUGACACUUGACUCUAACAUAAUCUACAAAAAUUUCAUGUUUCAACCAUCCCAAAAGUCAUUUUCCAAAACCUCACAUAAUCACUUAUUGGCGAAAACGCUUAAACAUCGACAUUUCACUCGAAAAACCCGUUUUCUUCCAAACGACUCAACUAACAUAACCACAACAUGAAAACAGAAAAUCUCAUAGGUUCAAUUCAUCCAACAAUAACAAAAUUUCAGUCAACAACCAUAUAUAUAUCAAAGUUCACUUUGGUCCUUCACAUGAACACUUAACUCAACUUCACCAAUUUCACAAAACCACCAACAACAAUUUAUUUCUCAUCAUCAAUUCACAAUUAAGUAUAUCCAAAUCAUGAUUCACUCACAAUAGCAUUAUUUAACAAUAACCACAUCAAUGGAAUAUGAAUCACAUCUCAUUUCAAUCAAAACAUAUCAAAUUUCAUCAAUUAAGCAUAAUUUCAUAACUUAACAUUUAUACAUACUUUGAAACAUGUAAUUUCACCCACAAACAUACCAUAAUCAUCAAUUCAUGCACAAGAAAAUAGCAUCACAGCAAGAGCACGAAUUUAGCAACAAUUGUUCAUCAACCCAUUUUCAUACAACAUGAGAAAAUGCAAAAAUUGUACAUGAUUAUGAUAAUAACUAACCCCCUUACCUUGAAGAAGAUUAACCCUAAUUCUUGCUUCAAUUCAGCUCCUAGCUUACCCCAAUUGAUUCCUCAAGCUAUUCUCUUCAAAACCCUUGUUCUUCUCUUCACCUCUUUCUCUCUCUACCUCUCUCUCUAGGAAAAUAUUUUGUGAAGUGAAUGAAUGAUAUUUUCUAUGACAAUCCUAAUGUUAUCUCCCUUAAUGGGCUCAAUUCCAAAUUCUAAUGGGCCUAACCCAUUCUAACAUAAUUCUAAAAAGUUUCUAUACACUCAACGGUAAUUACUAACAACGGUAAAAUAUAACCAACGGUCACUAACGGUAAAAACUAAUCACUACACUAGUAACUUAGUAAAAUAAGGGUUCUCACUAAUUAUUAAAAUAAUUCUCACCAAAAUUACCAUUUUACACUUACCCGCCAAAUGACCAAAAUACCCUUAUAUUACGGUAAUCCAUGUAAAUGCACCCAAUGACAAUUAAAUACACACAAGCACAAUUAAUCACACACAAUUACACAAUAAAAGUAAUUAAAAGAAAACUAGCUAAAAAUUGGGCUGUUACAACUGCCCUGUAAAUUGGUACCACAUGCAUGUGCAUUGUCGAGGAGUCUUAGUGGUGUUGUCGAGUAGUUGCAUGAGUCAUGUUAUUGGUUGUGAUUACCAUUGUUGUUGAUGUUGCUGUUUAUGAAGUAUAUGUUCAUAAUGAAUAACUAUUAUUAUGUUAGGGUGUUAGAUUCAAUUGAUGAAUUUUGUAUCUAUAUUUAUUGUUGUGAAUCUCACCCCUUCUGCUUGAAAACGUUGCCCUUCCUAUGGGUAACUUGCAGGUGAUCCUAAGUAGUAGGUGUUGGCUCAAUGUCUAGGGCUCUGAUACGUACGGGAUGAGAUUUAUUUGCUUAUUUUCAUUCCUAUGUAUCAAAUUUUGGAACAUGUUGAUGUAGCCCUUUGUUUGGUUGUUGAAGUAAUUGAUGAGGCUUUUAUGCCAAGAUUAUUUAUUGGAGAAUUAAUAUGUUGGAUGUUGUUGUUAUUUAAAUGAAAAUAUUCCGCUGCAAGGUUUUGGUAAAACUAUUAAGUUGUUGUUUUAUUAAAUAGUUUUAUAUUCUAUUUAAGAAAUUUUGAAAAGUAGUGUGACAUGUCCGUUUGGGAUAUACUCUGAUGUAUGUUUAUUUAUUAUUUAAUUGCUUUGGGAUAACAGGGUGUUACAGCAUCUGCAUAUACACAUCAUAGGCCAAUCCCAACUAAUUCCAAAAUUCACCUAAGUUCGUCUCGCUUUAUCAUUUUUCAAAAGAAUUGAAUUUUUUAAAGCAAAACCAAUUUAAAGCUCAUGAAUGUCAUUCAAAUCUAUUUUAUAAAGCAUGGUUAUAAUAAACAUCCUUACCUAUCCUUUUCCCUUAAGAAAAACGAGUUUCGGAAAAUUAUGUGUUCUAAGCAUUUUUCAAAAAGUUUGAUUUGAUUUACAAAACAUAGUUCAAUUCAAUCCAUUUAAUGAAUUAUCAGAUUACUAAUUCACUAUAAAUACAAGAUAGCAUGGAUACCUAGGGAGAUAAAAUUUCAAAGAAACGGCGCCACAAUCUUUUUGCAAUUUUCAAAGAUAGCGCAUCUCAACACAUUUAUAAGGGUUUUAUCAGAGGAAGGGUUUGAUCAGCCCACUUCAAAUUGAUAAGCCCACUUCAUUAAGACUCCUAUAAAGCCUCGUACUUUGACUAUUACUUUUCUCACCAUAUGUGUUUCUCACACGCCCUAUUUUUUUCAAAAAAUAACACUCGGAUAUUAAAAUCCAAAAUGUGUUUUACCUUUGAUUUGGGGUGGGAUGGGCGUGGGAAAAAUGAGUUUUUCAUAAAUUUGGAUUCUAUAAUCCGAAAAUCUAAAAAAAAAAUUGGGUGUGUUCCUUUCUUUUUUCUAAAGCUCCUUGUAACAUGGAUAACCACUUAUAAAAUCUGAAAUCUCAUGGGUAAAUUUGUAAAAAAAAAAAACAAAAAAAAAAAAGGCCUGCGAGAAGGUAAAUUUAUAUUUUUUUAAAAAAUAAAUAUUGUUUAUUGGAAGAAAAGUGUUUCUUUCAGAAUUUCUUUUAAGAAAAUAAAUUUGUUUGGAGCAAAAUAAUAUUUUUUUUAGUGAGUAUAUGCAUUUUUUUGUUGAGAAAAAAUUUUCCACUAGAUUUUUUUUAGGGAUAAGAGGAUAUAUAUAUAUAUAUAUUAAACAUUUAUAACUUGGAUUCAUCGGAUAAAGUUUGUUCUACUAAGGAACUUGGUGGCUUGGGGGUUAGAAAGCUUAUGGAGUUUAAUGUGGUAUUGGAGGUUGUAUGUUCAUCAGGGUGGGUUGUGGUUGAAGGUCGUGUCCGCUAAAUAUGGGGUUGAAGAGAGUCUUGUUUGGAGGCAAGCGAGACAUAUGUUAGUUUGGUGGAAUGAUUUGUGUCUUAUUAAUGAGGGAGUGGAAGGUGGUGAGGAGAGUUGGUUUAAGGAAAGGGUGGAGCGCUUAGCUGGCAAUGGGGAAAUCGCAUCCUUUUGGUGUGAUCCUUGGUUUAAUGAUAGGUGCUUACGGUUUAGAUUUAGGCGGUAGUUUGAUUUAAGUGUUAAUAGUAGUGUUACUAUAUCCGAGAUGCAGAGGCAAGGCCGGGGGGUUGAUGGGCAAGGGUGGGCGUGGUGGAGAAAGAGUUUGUUUGCUUGGGAAGGAAGAACAGUUGCACUAGUACUGUAUUUGUCUUUUAGAUAACAUUGUUUGCAUGCAAUGGAUACAUGGUUUUGGUAUCAUAAUACAUAUGAGAGGUAUACUGUAAAAGGUGCUUAUCAGAUCAUUACACAGACCCAGCAGCCUCAUCAUGAUAUUCAUGUAAAUUUAAUCUGGAACACAGAUAUGCCUCUGAAAGUUUCAUUAUUUGCUUCGAGAAUUUUUAAUAAAAGGAUUUCAACAAAGAGUAAUUUAUUUUGUCGUGGAGGGUUGCCUGUAGGAUCGUUGGUAUGUUUUGGAGGUUGUGGGAAGGAGGAAUAUCGUAAUCACCUUUUUCUUGGUUGUGAUUUCUUCGGUAGUAUUGGCAUUGUGUUCUUAGACGGUUGGGAAUCUCCCACUACAAGAAUUUUGGUUAUUAUUGGUAGAAUUAAUCCCUAGUAAUGAAAGAAAUACCUCAGUAAUAAUGGCAUCAGUAAUGUUACUGGCGGAAUUUUCCCUCAGUAAUAGAAAGGUAGUUCUGACAAAGCAUUACUGAGGGAUUGUUCCGCCAGUAAUUACCAAGGGAAUAAUCCCUCAGUAAUGCAGUAUCAGAUUUGUCAUAUUAUUACUAACGGAUUUAUCCCCCAGUAAUGUUAAUCAAAUUUGCAUUAUUGACGGAAAUUUCCGUCAGUAAUGUACUUCACCCUUUUUUUAUUAUCCCUUCCCACCUUUUGAUUUUAAUUAGAGAAAUAAAAUUAAAUAAACACAAAUAAAUUUAAGAAAUAAUUUUUUUUAUUUAAUAAGAUAAAUUAAUUAAACCACAUAUCAUUAUAAUAUCUGUACAAUAGAUAAAUAAUUUUCAUACAAAAUCAUAAAUAUUUUAGCUUAAUCUUUAAACUACAUCAACUUCAUCAUUUAUAAAGUAUAAUCAUACAUGCAACUUCGCUCAUCUCACAUGAAGCAUAUACUUCACAUAACGCACGUAAUUCAUCUAAUUCACAUCAAUCAUAUGGAUCAUAUAAACUCUUGCCUAAUUAACUCAACAAAUAUAAUUUAUCAUUUCAAAGUAUUGGCAAGGAAAUCAUCAUCAUCAAAAUCAAAGGAGGCACCAAAUUAACACACAUGAUUCAUACUUCAUUACUAUCACCCAAAGCAACUAUCAUAAAGUAAAAUUACAAAGCGUACAAGCAUCACCAAAGAUAACAAACAUCUUCAUGUGCACAUCUCUACACAAUUCACAUUAUUCACCGAUCACAUAAAUCACCAAAUUCAUAUAAUUCACCAAUCACAAUUCAUAUAAUUCACCAAGUUUCACCAAUGCACAUAAUCACCAAAUCACAAAGUCAAGUAUGACAUAAUUUCAACAAACAUCAAAUGCAUGGAAUUUUCUAGACUCUUGUCUAGAUGCAUGUGGUAUCAUUAGGAUUUCAGAGAUAAUUUUACCGUAUUGAAUCCACUAUGCAAACCCCUCCGACUACGUAUAAACAUAACUCCCUCCGGUUAUGUUCCCACCAAGACUCGAUAUGACAAUGAAUGCAUGGACAUGUAAGCAAAGACCCGACAAUGUUAUAAAUUACAACAUUAUAUUAUAUAACCCCUCCAUCAUAUAAUAUUCCCACCAAGAACCCACCAUUGCAUCAUAAAGUAUUUACAUUCAUACAUUUCAACAAGACAUAUUCACAAGAGCCAUAAAUAUAUUCCACAUCAACAUUCAUUCACCAUAAGUAAAACACAAUCAUCUCAUAAAUCACAAUUUCACAUCAAAGGCGUCAUAUAGUCAAAUCUUGAUAAACAACAUAUCAAACACCUAAUAACCAUUGAUUCAUUCUUUUUCCAUCAUAUCAUCAUGAAUAAAAAGUCAAUUAUAAGUCAUUCAACCAUAAAACACCAUUUUUACAAAGUUCGUCUAUUUUCUUAACUUUCAAUAUUUUCUAAGUAAUUCAACAAAAUAAGGUAAACAUAUUCAAACACCUCAACAAAGCAUAUAUACUACUCACAUAUGAUCACAAUAGCAUCUGCAUAUACGCAUCAUAGGCCAAUUCCAACUAAUUCCAAAAUUCACCUAAGUUCGUCCCACUUUAUCAUUUUUCAAAAGAAUUGAAUUUUUCAAAGCAAAACCAAUUUAAAGCUAAUGAAUGUCAUUCAAAUCUAUUUUAUAAAGCAUGGUUAUAAUAAACAUCCUUAACCCUAUCAUUUUCCCUUAAGAAAAACGAGUUUCGAAAAAUUAUGCGUUCUGAGCAUUUUUCAAAAAGUUUGAUUUGAUUUACAAAACAUAGUUCAAUUCAAUCCAUUUAAUGAAUUAUCAGAUUACUAAUUCUCUAUAAAUGCAAGAUAGCAUGGAUACCUAGGGAGAUAAAAUUUCAAAGAAACGGCGACACAAUCUUUUUGCAAUUUUCAAAGUGAGCGCAUCUUAACACAUUUAUAAGGGUUUUAUCAGAGGAAGGGUUUGAUCAGCCCACUUCAAAUUGAUAAGCCCACUUCAUUAAGACUCCUAUAAAGCCCCGUAGUGUUACUAUAUUCGAGAUGCAGAGGCAAGGCCGGGGGGUUGAUAGGCAAGGGUGGGCGUGGUGGAGAAAGAGUUUGUUUGCUUUGGAAGGAAGAACAGUUGCACUAGUACUGUAUUUGUCUUUUAGAUAACAUUGCUUUGCAUGCAACGGAUACAUGGGUUUGGUAUCAUAAUACAUAUGAGGGGUAUACUGUAAAAGGUGCUUAUCAGAUCAUUGCACAGACCCAGCAGCCUCAUCAUGAUAUUCAUGUAGAUUUAAUCUGGAACACAAAUGUGCCUCUGAAAGUUUCAUUAUUUGCUUGGAGAAUUUUUAAUAAAAGGAUUUCAACAAAGAAUAAUUUAUUUUGUCGUGGAGUGUUGCAGGAUCGUUGGUAUAUUUUGGAGGUUGUGGGAAGGAGGAAUAUAUUAAACACCUUUUGCUUGGUAGUGAUUUCUUCGACAGUAUUACAUUGUGUUCUUAGAUGGUCGGUAAUCUCCCACUAUAAGAAUUUUGGCUAUUAUUGGCAGAAUUAAUCUCUCGGUAAUGAAAGAAAUCCCUCAGUAAUACUGGCGUCAGUAAAGUCACUGGCGAAAUUUUUCAUUAGUAAUAGAAAGGUAGUUCUGACAAAGCAGUACUGAGGGAUUAUUCCCUCAGUAAUUACUGAGGGAUUGUUCCACCAGUAAUUACCGAGGGAAUAAUCCCUCAGUAAUCAGAUUUGUCAUAUUAUUACUAACGGAUUUAUUCCCCUGAUAAUGUCAUCGAAUCUGCAUUAUUGACGGAAAUUUCCGCCAGUAAUGUACUUCACCCUUUUUUUAUUAUCCCUUCCCACCUUUUGAUUUUAAUUAGAGAAAUAAAAUUAAAUAAAUUAAAGAAAUAAUUUUUUUUAUUUAAUAAGGUAAAUUAAUUAAACCACAUAUCAUUAUAAUAUUUGUACAAUAGAUAAAUAAUUUUCAUACAAAAUCAUAAAUAUUUUAAUAAUAUUCUUACAAUCUAGAAAACUAAGAAAAAAACUAAUUAUCAUAAUAUUUGGAUAAGUUUGAUCUUGAUCUCCCUCCCGAUGAUCUUUUGCUCCUAUUUUCUCCUCUCCCCGUAUUUUGGGAAUUUUCUUGCGAAGCCUCAUCCAUAUAAUUAUUAAAGUAUUCAUAUAAUUAUCCUGCUACCUUUGAAAAGCUUCAACAAAUGCCUAUAAUAUGAUAUGAUAUAUAAUUUCGUAAGAAUAAAGACUACAUUAAUAGAUGAAAUUAACGAGUAGAAAAAUAAAAUAACGAAAAAUUCCUUCAUUAUAUAGCUUAAAGAAAUAUUGAUCUGUAACAAGAGUUCAUAUUUGUUCAUCUUUAUACGCCUUUGUGGUCCAUACCAGUACACAAUCAUGGUUCAGAAAGUAAUUUCUUAAUAUCAUAUGAGUUCAUAUUUGUUCAUCUAUACAAUAGACAAGGAGUAAGAGUAUUCGGAAGGGGUUACAGUUAAUUCUAACAUGAACACAUAAUCCAAAAGAAGUAUGAACAAGCAUAGACACAGUAAAUUUUAUUAAUUUUUAAACACAUUGUUGAGAAAACUCUAAAUGAACUUGAGAUUUAGUGGUUCACUAAGCAAGUUUACACCCAUGAAUAGGUCAUGUUUUACAAUCCUGUUUGAUCAUAUCACUAACUUCUACCUUUCCUAGUAGUAACACUAUUUUAUUGUAUCGUCUUACAUCAAAACCUACAAUGACAACCCCAAUUCUACUACAUAUAUGUCAACACCAAAAAACCAAGAUUUGGAAUCUCAAAAUCUUACAUCUACGACGGGUAAAUACACAAGGGAACCGAAAACCAAGAUUUGCUUUAUCCGGUAUCAAUCGUGAGCUACGAGCAAAUAGAACUCCUUUUAGGAGUAUCAAUACCGUCACGUGAAUUGUAAAUGCAUGAAUAUGAUGUACCAAAAAAUCUGCAGUUCCUAAUGGAAUAGGUAACAAAGCUACUUUGCCGCCCACUGCCACUAAAUCACCACCGCCCCAAGUCAAACUGGUGCUUGCUGUUGCACCAGGGGCCGUUGUACCAGGUGCUAAAGCGUGGGUAUUUUGUAUCCAUUGAGCAAAGACUGGUUGUAAUUGUAUAGCGGUAUCAGAAAACAUAUCUUGAGGGCGCCCUAAAGCACUCAUGGUAUCAUUAUGAAUAUACAAACCAAAACUGUGAAAGCCUAAAAAUAUACACACCCAGUUGAGAUGUGAUAUGAUUGCAUCGCGAUGUCUAAGAAUACGAUCUAAUAGAUCGUUGUAUCGAGUAGUUGGAUCAUAGUCUCUUACCAUAAAAAUGGCUGCAUGUGCAGCAGCACCAACUAUGAGAAAUCCCCCAAUCCACAUGUGAUGUGUGAACAAUGACAGUUGUGUCCCAUAGUCAGUAGCUAGGUAUGGAUAAGGAGGCAUAGCAUACAUAUGGUGAGCUACAAUAAUGGUCAAAGAGCCUAACAUAGCUAGGUUAAUAGAUAAUUGAGCAUGCCAUGACGUUGUUAGGAUCUCAUAUAGACCUUUAUGACCUUGGCCUGUAAAUGGACCUUUAUGGGCCUCUAAAAUAUCUCUUAUACCAUGACCAAUACCCCAAUUAGUUCUAUACAUAUGACCGGCAAUGAGAAAAAGAAUUGCAAUAGCUAAAUGAUGAUGUGCAAUAUCGGUCAGCCAUAGACCCCCAGUUAGUGGAUCUAAUCCUCCACGAAAAGUUAGAAAGUCCGCGUAUUUUGACCAAUUCAAGGUAAAAAAUGGGGUUGCUCCUUCGGCAAAACUUGGAUAAAGUUGAGCCAAAAGAUCCCGAUUCAAGAUAAAUUCAUGAGGAAGUGGGAUCUCUUUGGGAUCUACUCCAGCAUUUAGAAAUUGGUUAAUUGGUAAAGAUACAUGUACUUGAUGCCCCGCCCAAGAAAGAGACCCAAGUCCUAGUAGCCCUGCCAAAUGGUGAUUCAACAUGGAUUCUACAUCUUGGAACCAAGCCAAUUUUGGAGCAGCUUUGUGAUAAUGAAACCAACCAGCAAAAAGCAUUAAGGCUGCAAAGACCAAUGCACCAAUUGCAGUACAAUAGAGUUGUAAUUCAUUAGUUAUUCCAGAUGCUCGCCAAAUCUGAAAAAAACCAGAAGUUAUUUGUAUUCCGCAGAAACCUCCGCCUACAUCACCAUUCAAUAUUUCUUGGCCUACUAUUGGCCAAACCACCUGGGCACUAGGUCGAAUGUGAGUAGGAUCAUUUAGCCAUGCUUCAUAAUUGGAAAAACGAGCACCAUGGAAAUACAUGCCACUCAGCCAAAGAAAGAUAAUGGAGAGUUGGCCGAAAUGAGCACUAAAUACUUUUCGGGAAAUCUCCUCUAAAUCACUAGUAUGGCUAUCGAAAUCAUGAGCAUCAGCAUGUAGGUUCCAGAUCCAAGUAGUAGUAUCAGGUCCCUUAGCUAUUGUUCUUGAGAAAUGACCAGGCUUUGCCCAUUGCUCGAAAGAAGUUUUUAUGGGAUCCCUAUCUACCAAAAUUUUGACUUCUGGAUCUACCAAAAUUUUGACUUUUGGUUCCGGCGAACGAAUAAUCAUUGAGUCCUCCUCUUUCCGGACAACACAUACAAAGAGACCCGCCAACAUAAAACAUAAUUAGUGAACUUAUGAGAGAUGUUUAUAUUGAAUAACUUUCUCUUCUAUCUCCCAUCUAUUUAUUCUAUAUUUUCUUUAGUUAUUCACUAGAACAAUUAUGAUCCGGAAGUUAAUCCGGGGCAAGUGUUCGGAUCUAUUAUGACAUAGUAGUAAGGCGCUCAACGGACCCUUUUUUUUAAUUCUAAAACCUUUUCUGAACUUUGAAUUUAAUGAAGUUAAAGAAUUUUUUGUGCAACCUAGUCUAUUCAUAUUUCACUUAGAGAUUCCUAGAUGGAACAAAUGAAAUUUUUUGUCUUUCUUGCAUAUCUUACAGAGAAGAUAUUCUUAGGUACUUUAUUUCAAAUCACGUGAGCAGUUAUAUUAGCAUUACUAAGGAACAUAACGAAAUAUCAGAUGAAAUAGAACUAUUUUAGAAGGGAUAUAAGAAAAUCUUUUGAUUGUUUGUUGCUUUAUAUUUAGAAAAUGAAUGAUCCGUAUUCUCUUUAUAUUCUAUUCUCUAUAGAGAAUAGAAUAUAAAGAGAAUUAUAGAAAAAUUAUAGAAAAUAUAGAAUAUUAGAAUAAAAAAAAGAAAAUAAUAAACAGAGUGUUCUUAUUCAAAACGCCCUGUGAUCUUCAACCAAUUCUGUGCUUCAAUAUAAUUCCCAGGGGUAAGGGCUAUAGCUUGUUUCCAAUAUUCAGCGGCUUGAUCAAACCAAGAUUCCGCAAUUUCAGAAUCUCCCUGUCGAAUGGCCUGUUCUCAACAGUCAAUUCUUUUUAUCUUCCAUUUUUUCUGGAGUUAAGAACAAGAAAAGAGGUUAAUUACAUGAGUUUCAAACUUGAAUUUGGAUUACGAAUUUAAUCCUUUGUUUUUAGUUUUAUCUUUUUUCCUACCUUCCGAAGAAUAAAGUAUCGACAUUAACACUAAUGCUCGUUCUUAUUGAAAUUUUCUGAAAGGUAACUAUCUCGAUUUCAUAUAUCAUAUACUUUCAUAUAUGAUAUAUCAAUUUCUAUAGAAUCUUUGAGAAAGACUUUUCUUCAUAAGAAAAGACUUACUAUCUUUGGGAUCUGAUACUACACCGCUGCUCACAACCUUAGGGGAUCCACUUUAUUACAUAAGUAGAUUCCUAAUCUAUCAUCAUAUAAGUAAGCAGUUCUUGUUGUAUCGGCCAAAAACCUUGUUAAUUGAUCUUUACGGUGCUUCCUCUAUCAAUUAGAUCUUUUAUCCAUAGAAAAAAAGUAUCUAGGCGUAUAUAUUCUAUUUCUUCAUAUUUUGACUUCUAUGAAGUUUCUUUCUUUGCUACAGCUCAUAAAAAUCGUUGUUUCGAACGAUAUAUAUAUGUAGAAAGCCCAUUUUUUUUGUCUAGUAUUUAUUUUUUUAUUAGUAUUAGUGGAGUUGUUCGUUCUUUUCUUUUUUUCUAUAGUGGAGAUAGUCGCACGUAAUGACAGAUCACGGCCAUAUUGUUAAAAGCUUGAGGUAAGAAAGGGUUUCGUUCGAGUGCCCUAAAAUAGUAUUCCAAAGCUUUCGUAUGUUCUCCGUUACUUGUGUGUAUAAGGCCUAUGUUAUAAAGUAUAUAACUUCGAUCAUAGGGAUCAAUUUCCAGUCGCAUAGCCUCAUAAUAAUUUUGUAAAGCUUCCGCAUAAUUUCCUUCAGAUUGAGCCGACAUCCGUUACGGUCGUCAUUCGGUUCAAAGAAUAUCCGUUCCAGAACCGUACGUGAGAUUUUCAUCUCAUACGGCUCCUCCUUUAUGUGUAUAAUGAUAAACAUCCAUGGAAUCAAAUCCAAAAAGAUUGCAAUAUUCUCAUUAUCAACUUAGCGGGACUAGUAUUUUUACACGAAAUCUCUAGCCAACCUUCCUGUAAAGGAUCUUUUAUUAACAUCAAGUAUGUUAUUACUGGAUAAAUAGUCACUUCAACAAUUUCUUUGUCCUCAACGCUGCUAAAUUUCCCGGAAUUAGUCACUUCAACAGUCUUCGAUGGUUAUAUGGGUAUCCAAAAUACGAACGAGAUGGAUGUUUAUUGUCCCAACCAUUCUAGUUAGUCCCGAUCCCCAUAAGAAAGGAAGGAUUUAUUUUUUUUUACAAAGUUUUCUAGUGUUGUUGAUUCCUAAGCGUAGUGCUUCUUCCCCCAUGCCGCCUAUUGGUACUAGUGGAGUAGGAUUAACCUAACCCCAUAGGUAUAGGUAUAACCUUUCGCUUAAUACUAUAAACCUAAAAUUGAAGCAUAUGAGGCUGCAUUAAUCGGAAAUACACGACAGAAGGGAUUAAUUGUUUUAUUUCCAAACUUCACCUUCAGCAAGCGUAGGUUUUUUUUUCAAAAUUUUUUUCUUUCUCUAGACUGAGAUCGGUAAAAAAAAAAAAAAAUAAUCAAAUCGCACCAUCUCUGUAAUAAGUGAAUGCCUCUUUUUCUCCAGAAGUUGUCGGAAUUAUUCGUAAUAAGAUAUUGGCUACAAUGGUAAAGGUCUUAUCAAUAAAAUUUCCAUUUAUCCGAGAUCUAGUCAUAGGUAGCAAUCCAUUCUAAAAUUUCAUUUUUUAUCGCGUGAUAAAAGAAUCCCCCAAACAAAGGAAUUGUACAAUACAGUACGAAAUAACGUAAAAAUGGACUUAUUAAUCAAAUAAUUUUAUCCUACGGCAGGCCUCGAAGUAAGUUUUUUUUUGUUCGUUUCAAUUGAUUAUGUGCGCCUACCCAAAUGGAAUAUCUAUGCCUCACUAUUCACUCGAGGGACAUAAUCAUUAUGUAGGAGAGAUGGCCGAGUGGUUGAAGGCGUAGCACUGGAACUGCUAUGUAGGCUUUUUGUUUACCGAGGGUUCGAAUCCCUCUCUUUCCGCACCCUUAUCAAGUUCAUCAAUGUUACUGACCUCAAUGUUUGCAAAUAGAUAUCAUUAUUCCAACUUUGAUGUGGAUUCUCUAUUCCUAAUUUAUUUCUGUUUUCUGUAAUAAAAAAAAUCGUGGAAUAAAGUGGGCAAGGAAUAACAAAUUUCCUAUACCCACCCACGUCUAUACAUGAAUGGGGGGAAAUCCUCGGAUCAAAAUUAUUCUUAUUUUAAUUAGGUUUAAGUCUGACGAGAAUAAUAUUCUACAACCAGCAAUUCAUUAAUUUUCAAACCAACCCAUUUACUAUCUAUUAUUUGAUUGACUAAUCCUUUAUAUUGGAAUGGAUCAAGAGUCAAAUGGAUUGGCAAUUUUUCGCGGGGGGCUGAUUCAAGAGAAUUUUGAAUCAGAGUUCUAGAUUUUUGUUCAUCCUUCGCUGUAAUAAUAUCUUCGGGUUUGCAACGAUAACUUGGUAUAUCUACUAUACGACCAUUAACUAAAACAUGUCUGUGGUUAACUAAUUGACGGGCUUGAGGAAUAGUCGAAGCCAUACCCAAUCGAAAAAGUAUGUUAUCCAAACGCAUUUCAAGUAAUUGUAGUAAAACUUGACCGGUUGAACCUUUCGCUUUUCCAGCGAUACGAACGUAUUUAAGCAAUUGUCGUUCUGUAAGACCAUAAUGAAAACGCAAUUUUUGUUUUUCUUCUAAACGAAUACGAUAUUGAGACUUUUUACUCGAGCGCGAUUGGUUUUUAAGUUCGCUUCCAACUGUAGGCCCUUUACUAGUUAGUCCUGGUAAAGCCCCCAGACGACGUAUUUUUUUGAAACGAGGCCCUCUGUAACGUGACAUAAACACUCCUUUUUAAUUUAAAAUGGAAAAUCUCAUAAAGCUAAAUUAAAACUAAACUAAAUAACAAAAAUGAUAAAUCAAACGAAAUCUACUUAAAGUAUUUUACUAUAAAUAGUAUACUACAAAAAAGAACUGGAAAGAUUCGAUCAGUAUCCGAAUUUUAUUCUAUUGUAUAUCUAUCUAAAUAAAUAGAAAAUAAAAAAAGGAGGUUAUUUUCUUGAUUUGUUCUAGAGAAAUAGAACUCCCAUUUUUUUCCUAAAAUAAAAAUAAAAAGAGAUUAUACCUUAUGUCAAAAAUGAAAACAAAUAGAGAAAAAAAGCCGGCUAUCGGAAUCGAACCGAUGACCAUCGCAUUACAAAUGCGAUGCUCUAACCUCUGAGCUAAGCGGGCUCUCAUAACACAAAUUGUGGAUUUAUCGGAAUUAUUUCCUAAACUACUGGGAUCUUAGUUAUUAAUUGUUUUAUAUUAGCUCUUCAUAACCAAAUUACUAUAUCAUAAUCAAAUAAAUACAAACAUAGAAAAAAUCGAAAAUAUCCAAUAGUUAUUAUUUAUUUGAUAUUUUAGUAUAUAUCAUAUCAUAAAAAUAAUAAUAAUUUUAAGAUAAGAAUUUUAAUUAAGAGUUAAUUAAUUAAUAGUUAAAUAGAAUACUAUUUUGAUCGAUUUAUCAAAUAAUUUUUAUCAAUAAAACAAUAUCGUCAUUUUAAUUCGUAUAGUCAAAUUCUCUUUUUUGUUUUGAAUAUUUUUGCUUCUUUAUUUCGAUUAUUUUAAUAUUUCAAGAAUAAAUAAUAAAUAGAAUUCAUAUUUUCAUCUAAUCUAUAUAAAUAUCUAAAUAUAGAUAUGUAUUUAUCCCGAUAUCCUGAUUAUUAGAUAGGAAGAUUAUUUGUUUCUAUAUAUAUUCUUUAUAUAUUCUUUAAUAUUCUACAAUUAGAAUACCUUAAAAUAAAAUUCUAUAUAAAAAUUCUAUAUAUAUAUAAAUAAAUAUAGAUAUAGAAAAUAGUAAAGAGUAUAUAGAAUACUAUCUUAAAAUUAAAAUUUAUAUUUUAAAUAGUUUUUUAGAAUUUUAAAUAAAAUAAUGACUAAUUAGAUUACAGUAAACAGUAAUUUAUAUUACAAAAUUCGUAUGCAUUAAGAUGAACUAUGUAUAAUGUAGAUAAAAAAGAAUGUAUCGAUAGAAAUUGGAUAAGUAAAUAGAAAUUUGAUAUUUCUAUUGAAUUUCUAAAUGAAUGUCAAAUUUUAAAUUAAUAAAUAGAUUUUUGAUUUUCGUUUUGUUAUUAUAAGGUCUGUAUCUGUCUCCUCUAAGCAAAAAAAGAAUCGAACGUUAGAGUAUUCUAAAUACUCUCAAAAAAUCAAAGAAGGAGGGACAUCUAAAAUAGAGAUAAAUGUAGUAUAUAUCUCUGUAUAUUGAAUUGCGAAUACACAGAUAAUAGAAUCAUUUCUGAUUCGACUAAAUAUGGGUAUCUGAUAUCAGAUAUAGAUGAAAGAAAAUCAAUCAAACAAAUAGAAGGAAAUUUUUCCAAAAAUGGGAGUAGGUUUCUAAUAAAUUGAACAGUUCCAUCAUAUAAUUCUCAUAAUACAAAUGAAAAAACAUCCUAAUGAGAUAUGAUAUCAAUCUCAAAUAAAAAAACGGGGGAUAUGGCGAAAUUGGUAGACGCUACGGACUUAAUUGGAUUGAGCCUUGGUAUGGAAACUUACCAGGUGAAAACUUUCAAAUUCAGAGAAACCCUGGAAUUAAAAAUGGGCAAUCCUGAGCCAAAUCCUUCUUUCCGAAAACAAAUAAAUAAAAGUUUAGAAAGUGAAAAUCAAAAAAGGAUAGGUGCAGAGACUCAAUGGAAGCUGUUCUAACAAAUGGAGUUGACAACAUUUACUCUUUCAAUAGAAUAAUCUUGAUUGAUCAAAUCAGUCACUCCACCAUAGUCUGAUGGAUCUUUUGAAUAACUGAUUAAUCAGACGAGAAUAAAGAUAGAGUCCCAUUCUACAUGUCAAUACCGACAUCAAUGAAAUUUUUAGUAAGAGGAAAAUCCGUCGACUUUAGAAAUCGUGAGGGUUCAAGUCCCUCUAUCCCCAAAAGCCCAUUUAAUUCGCUAAUUUUUUAUCCUAUAUCCCUUUUUUUUUUAUUUAGUUGACAUAGACUCAAGUAAUUUCCUAAAAUUAGGGUGGUGUGUCAAGAAUGGUCGGGAUAGCUCAGCUGGUAGAGCAGAGGACUGAAAAUCCUCGUGUCACCAGUUCAAAUCUGGUUCCCGGCGAUUCAUUUCUAUGAGUAUCUAUUCCCAAAUUUUAAUAAAUUUGGGAAUAGAUACAUAAUUUAUCUAGGCGUACGGAGAUAUACUCUUUCUAGCUAAAGAAUGAAUAGAUGUAUAUUCUAGGUAUAGAAAGUGAGUCUGAAAAUGAAUGAUUCCAUUUUGUUUCGAUUUUUUCUGCGCUCCAAAAAGAAUGUUAAUAUUUCAACAAUAUAAAAAAAUUCGGUCCAUUUCUUUUUAUUUUCUUUGAUCCUACUUUUUCUUUUUCGUAGCCGGAUAUCUAAUUGAUGUUGCUGUACAUCUUACAUAGUUAAUGAUACAGAACUUUUUCAGUUCAUCCUAUUGGCUCACCCUAAAUUAAGUAUCGUUCCAUCCAAUUUUAGAAUCUCAAUGAAUCCCUAUAUUAUUGUCUUUUUUAUUUAUCCAUUUUGUUAUUUAUCCCAUCCAUAAUAAGAUAUGAAUGAAACCUCUAUUAUUCUGUCCAAUCUAUAACAAAAAGAAAAUGUACAUACAGAUAUUUCUUGAAUAUCUGGGGUUGUCGAAGUGCUGAUUACUUUCUUAUUUUUAUCAUUUAGUGAGCAUCCUGUAUUUCAUAAAAAUUGGGGGCGAUAUAAUCUUUACGCAAAGGCCAUCCUAUCCAACUUUCGGGCAUUAAAAUACGUUUCAGACGCGGAUGAUUAUCAUAAGAGAUUCCUAACAUAUCAUAAGAUUCCCUUUCUUGAAAAUCAGCACUUUUCCAAACCCAGAAAAUAGAAGGAAUUCUCGGAUUUUGCCUUGGGACAAAUACUUUUAUGCAUACCUCUUCGGGUUGAUCUAGACUAUACUCUAUUCUCGUAAGAUGAUAGACACUAGCUAAUAGUCCUCCUGGUGCUACAUCAUAGGCACAUUGGGAACGUAGAUAAUUGUAACCAUAUACAUAUAAAAUAACAGCAAUCGAAUGCCAAUCCUCGGGCUUUAUUUGUAAAGUCUCUAUUCCUUGGUAAUCAAAACCCAAAGAUCUAUGAACUAUUCCGUGUUUGACUAGCCAAGCAGACAGAUGACCCUGCAUUUUUUUUACUUCUCCUGCUUUUUUUUAUAUAAGUUUGGUAUUAGAAUGAAAUUUUUGAAGAUUGACUUGCUUGCUAUUUCUUAUUGUAUUUUGUACAAAAGGAUCCUGUUUAAUUCACUUUUUCGUUUGUCGGAGGAUACUUAACUUUUUUAUAUUUGAAAAAUGUGUCAGAGGUUAUCUCUGAAAUAGAUGAUGGUUGAUAAAAUAAUCCUUGAUUAUAAUUGCCGGUAUGAGUACUGCGUCCAAGAUGAAAUUUGUGGUUCGUAGUAAAACACCUAUUCUCUCGUUGAUAACAAAUUAGAUCUUCAUAGAUUUCUCGAGAUAUUUUCUUACGAAGUUUUGUUAUAGCAUCUAUAACGGCUUCCGGUUUAGGUGGACAGCCUGGCAAAUAGACAUCCACAGGAAUUAGUUUAUCCACGCCCCGAACAGUACUAUAAGAAUCGGUACUGAACAUCCCUCCUGUAAUUGUACAGGCUCCCAUAGCAAUAACAUAUUUUGGUUCGGGCAUUUGCUCAUAUAAUCGAACUAAAGAAGGAGCCAUUUUCAUAGUUACGGUGCCCGCUAUUAAAAUAAGGUCUGCCUGCCUAGGACUCGACCGUGGUACCAGUCCAUAACGAUCAAAGUCAAAUCGUGAUCCUAUUAAUGAAGCAAAUUCAAUGAAGCAACAACUAGUACCAUAGAGAAGUGGCCAUAAACUGGAUAGUCUUGACCAAUUUGAAAGAUCAUUUAAUGUAGUAGAAAUAACCGAAUUUUUGGUUUUUUGAUCAAGUAAGGGAAACUCAAUGGAAUUCAUAACUGUCUCAAUGUUUUGUUUAAUUGUCUAAAUAUUCAAGAAUUAAGACCAUUCUAAUGCUCCCUUCCGCCAUGCAUAAACUAAACCAACAAUUAGGAUAAGGACGAAGAUGAAAGCUUCUAUAAAUACGGAUACCCCCAAUACAUCAAAACUCAUUGCCCAUGGGUAAAGAAAGACUGUUUCAACAUCAAAAACAACAAAAACUAGAGCAAACAUAUAAUAACGGAUUUGAAAUUGUAACCAAGCAUCGCCCAUCGGUUCUAUCCCAGAUUCAUAACUAGAAAGUUUUUCUGGCCCUUUUCUAAUUGGAGCUAAAAUUCCAGAAAUCAGAAAUGCCAAAAUAGGAAUAAAGAUCGAUAUUAUUAGAAAUGUCCAAAAAAUAUCAUAUUCAUAAAGCAAAAACAUAAAUGUACUCCUAUGAAUGUGAAAAAUAUACCGGAUUCUUAUUAAUUCUUAGUCGAUUUGAAUUGAAAUUUUCAAAUUAUUAGAUUAAUGAAAAUUAAUCUAAAUACUAAAUAGAAAUGCUUUUUAUUUUAUUAAAUUUACAUUAUUUCGGAUCAAAUUCAUACUAGUAUCUGAGUAUACUAAUAGAAAUAUUAUUCUAUCCAAUAUUAAUCUAUUCAAAUAGAAAUUGAUUCAUUUUUAAUAAUACUAAUUAACUAAAAAUAUAGUAUAUUUAAACUAGUAAUAUUACAAGUAUGGAGUAUUUAGUAUUCCAUAUACUAUUAAUAUAAUUAAUAGUAUAUAGUACUAAAUACUAUAUAGUACUAUAUCAAAUAUAUCGACUAUUAUAUCUACUAUUAUAUAAGUAUCUACUAUCUAUAAAUCUGAGUAGUAUAGGUAGCAAUAUUAGGGCUAUACGGACUCGAACCGUAGACCUUCUCGGUAAAACAGAUCAAACUAUUAUUAUCAAAAUGAUUUGAAUUGUUUUAAAAACCCAACGUGCAUUUUUUUUUGCAUUGGGCUUUUUCAUUAACUGAUAGAAAUAUCAAUUAGUCUACCAUCUUUUUUCUUUACACAAAGAAAAAGGAAAUGAUUCCCUGUGCUCUGAUUUAUUUUUUUUUAGAUUUUAAUCUAAGAGCACUACCAAAGUUUUUCAAAGAAGAAGGUUAUCCUGACGUAGGUCUGCUUUUGGCCUGGAUCAACUAAAGUUAAAUGGACUCUCUAUCAACCCACUUAAAUAAAAAUAUCAAAUAGGAAAUGAAACUUCAUACACCUUAAAGUUCAUAAGAUAGGAAGAAAAGAGAAUUUUUUUGAGGUCCCUAGACUCAUUUGCCUAGCAUUGAAUAGAUUAAGUAUUCACCUUAUCAAUAUCUCAAAUCCAUUAUGGAUUUUAUUUGACGUCUAAAUCCUUUGUCAGGCUAUUGUUCUCUUAUUUUAUUCCUGGAGUAAGACAUGGAUUUCUCAAUAAGAUCAACUCUUUUAAUUACAUGAUGGACUCCUAUGAAAAAAAAACAUUGGCGCGUGUGUAAACGAGGUGCUCUACCAACUGAGCUAUAGCCCUUGUGCUUUUGAUACAUAUUUUAUUCGAUAAAUAAAUUCUUGUCAAGAUUAAUAUUACAUGAUCGAAUCUCUUUGAUUGAUAGUGCGUUGGUAUUGUUUAUAAGUAAUAUAACAUUUAUAAUCCAUUGAUCUGAUAGAUGGGUACUUUUUUUAUUUAGGAUGAUAAACGACCUACUUAACUCAGUGGUUAGAGUAUUGCUUUCAUACGGCAGGAGUCAUUGGUUCAAAUCCAAUAGUAGGUAAGGUAUAGAUAGAACGUAUUAGAUACCAUUGAUUCCGGUAUCUAAUAAGUUUUUCUACUCAUCUUUUUUUAUUGUAAUUUUCUAUCUUUUUCUAUUUUUAAUUAUUUUGCUGAACCAACUUGUUACGAGAUCCUAUUGAUAGCCUCUACUCGUGUCCUAGCUCGUCGGAGAGCUAGAUUUGCCUCAAUUUUUUGUCUUUUCCCUUCAGCCUUAUUCAAGUUAGCUUCUGCUAUUUUUAGAGUUUGUUGUGCUUCUUGUGGAUCAAUGUCAAUACUCUUUUCCGCAUCAUUUACUAAAAUAGUGAUCUCAUUAUUUCCUAUUCUAGCAAAACCGCCCAUCAGAGCCAUCGUUACCCAUUGUCGGUUGUUAUUGUUAAGGCGUAUUUUCAAAAUACCUAUAUCUAAAGCUGUGGCAAUAGGCGCAUGAUUUUUUAAUACCCCAAUUUGUCCACUAUUAGUAGAUAAAAUAAUUUCCUUCACUUCUGAAUCCCAAACAGUUCGAUUGGGGGUCAGUACACAAAGAUUUAAAGUCAUUUCUUGAAUUUGUUCUCCAUUUACAAGUUCGCAGCCUUCGCAGUAGCUUCAUCGAUAUUACCCACCAAAUAAAAGGCUUGUUCAGGAAGACUAUCUAAUUCUCCAGAAAGAAUCAAUUUAAACCCUCUAAUUGUUUCUGCUAGACCAACAUAUUUCCCUGGGGAACCUGUAAAUACUUCUGCUACGAAAAAAGGUUGGGAUAAGAAACGUUCAAUUUUUCGUGCUCUUGCUACGGUUAAACGAUCCUCUUCGGAUAAUUCGUCCAACCCAAGAAUAGCUAUAAUGUCCUGAAGUUCUUUGUAACGUUGUAACGUUUGUUUAACCCUUUGCGCAGUUUCAUAAUGUUCUUCACCAAC
rnacentral:lncRNA from 1 species